UUACGGCCAUAUCACGUUGAAAAACCGGUUCCCGUACGAUCACCGAAGUUAAGCAACGUCGGACCGGGCUAGUACCUAGAUGGGUGCCCGCCUGGAAAUACUAGAUGCUGUAA